CUCCUUAACUAAAUUGUACACAAACAGAACUUUCCUCCAGAAAAAGAGAGUAAACAAAGCCUUUUGAAGACCAGGAACUGAGGUUAAACAGAAUCCCCCCCGCAUUUGGUGGUGUUCCUGUACUGCAGGGAACUCAUGGUUCUCUUUGGGGCCUAGAGAGCGGUGGGCUAUGAACUUCAUCUGACAUUCUGAGCUAGUUUCCUGUCAAUAUUCCCAUUGAGUGGAAGCCAUUGAUCAACCAAGUGAAGCUGCUAAAAAUGGAUUCCAGCCUGGGAAAAAUUCCCUGGGGAGGCUGUACAUGUCCCGGCCUGGCCUGGCAAGGCUGGGUCCUUUGUGACUCAACUGGGUGAGAGCUGAGGGCUGUUCCACCAGUCAAAACCCCAGCCACAAUAACCUGGCUCUCGGGUCUCAGAUACCUAGCACCUACUGCAGGCUGAGGAGAGAGUGGAAGGAAGAAGCAGGUCCCCCUAGUGUGGACUGGGCUGAGAUCGGGUCAUCUGCUGAACUCAGCAGCCACACACACCCUAGCUAAUUCCAGCGUCUCCAGAAGCAUGAGCGUAAUGAGGGGCUGGUGGUGGUCUUGCCGCGUCUCUGCCCUCCUUUCUUGCUUAGUGGCUCAUCACACUUUGAUGGAGAUGAACAAUGAGGGGAGGGGCUAGGGGGCCAGUGGGUUAGACAAAGAAGGAAACUGUGCCUUGGCCAGAUCCACGCCAAUUAUGUCUGAAUAAACGCAUCCACAGUGCGAGCUAAAGAGGCUUCCUUCCCUCACCCCACUCCGUUUUAUUUAUUUUUAUCUUGGUCUGGAAAGUUGGACAUAUUUCCUGUACCGUCCUGGUACCCAGAUGGCCUGUUUGAGUAAGCAGUGGGGAAGAAGGUCAAUAAUACAUCAGCAUGCAGAGUCUCCGCUAAGGGCUGGGCUUCCUUGGGGUCUGAGGACGUGAGAGGGCAGAGUUAAUGGUCACCUGUGUGAGAGGUGCGGCUGCAAACCUGAGGGAUGAGACUGUCUUGGGAGGCAGAGCAAGAUGGCCUGUUUUCCUGAGAUUCUUCUGGGCUCAGAGGUGGGACUGGGGAUCACAGCAGGGUCUCCUUGAAAAUGCCUCACUUUUCAAGACUGAUUCUUCAGUGACACUGAAACACUAUUUGUACCACAGGUAUAAGAGCUACAUUUCAACUUCAUCCAAAUUGUGAGUAGGAAAAGCAAGAUAUUUUCUGAUGACG
ensembl:lincRNA